AUGCUGGGUGCGGGGGACGCAGCAGGGGUGGGCUUGGAGCAGCCCCAGGAGCUGGCCUGGCAGGACGAGGAGGGGGCUCUCCCGAGGACCAUGCCAUUGCUCUCCCCACCCGCUCCAUCACCGUUUCUAUCCUGCCACCUACCCUCCUUCUGGAGGCAGCAGGCAAAGUUGGAGCCCUUGCCCCAAAUCCAGGCCUCCCAGGGGAGCCCAGCUCCCCACAGCUACUCCUUCGGGGCUGGGCCCCUCUCUGCUCUGCCCUUGCUCCCUGCAGCCUCCCCUCGGGGCCAGGGCGAUGCUGGCAGGCUCUGCUGGGCUCGUCCUCCCACAACAGUACCCGCAGCAUCCCCACACCAUCCCCAGAGAGGUCUGCCCAGCACUUUGGCUUUUUGGAAGAGGAGAGAGAGUCAGCACCCCACUGGUGCUGAGGGCAGAGGGGGCUGGAGCCCACUGUGGGGUCUCACUGGGCAGGCAGAGCGCAGGUACCUGGGGCCAGGCAGGGGCCAGGUCCCCUCUCCCCGAGGUGCCAGCAGCCACGCUCGGGGCUCGGUGCUGGGCCCUGGUGCUGCUGGAGCCCUGUGCCAGCCAGGCCAGCCCUGGCGUGCCAAGUGCCAAAGGCAGGGGCAGACAGCUCUGCCUCCACAGCAUCCCCCGGGGUGCCUCUGCCUGGCUUUGCAGGCCUCACCUCUGAGGUGCUGCAAGGCCUUUGCGGAGUGCUUGGCCCUGCCAAAGCUCCGCUGGCAGCUCACCGGGGCUGGGAUGUGCCUGGCAGGGCUCUGCCCCAUGCCUGGGCACCGAGCCCAGGCCCUUGGCCGUGCUCCCGUGUGGAAGCAGCGCGGGGGCAAUCCGGCUGCCUGCAGCUCCAGGGGGGAUGCGUGGGCCGGGCUUCGGUCCCCUCCUGCCCCGUGCUGCGGUCCCCUUUAUGGACCACCUGGAGAGGCUGAUCCCCAGCGCUGCAGUGAGCAGAAGGCGGGCUUGAGGAGACACCAACCCCGGGCAGCGCCUGGGCGGCGUGUGGGGCUGCGGGGCUGCCUCCCCUCGCCCUUCCCGCACAGAAGGGCAGGGGCUUGGGGGCUCCGCAGCCAACCCCAACUGCCCCUCCGGAGCCAGUAG
rnacentral:lncRNA from 1 species